rnacentral:rRNA from 1 species
GUAGGGGGCUAGCGUUAUCCGGAUUUACUGGGCGUAAAGGGUGCGUAGGCGGUCUUUUAAGUCAGGAGUGAAAGGCUACGGCUCAACCGUAGUAAGCUCUUGAAACUGUUUUUCUUGAGUAGUGCAGAGGUAGGCGGAAUUCCCGGUGUAGCGGUGGAAUGCGUAGAUAUCGGGAGGAACACCAGUGGCGAAGGCGGCCUACUGGGCACCAACUGACGCUGAGGCUCGAAAGUGUGGGUAGCAAACAGGAUUAGAUACCCUGGUAGUCCACGCCGUAGACGAUGAAUACUAGGUGUCGGGGGACAAAGUCCUUCGGUGCCGCCGCAAACGCAAUAAGUAUUCCACCUGGGGAGU